rnacentral:sRNA from 14 species
CCCGCCACCCUAUUAAUCACCAGGGUUGACUAGGCUGAUCUGGGUGACUAGGUGGG